GUGCCAGCCGCCGCGGUAAUACAGAGGGUGCAAGCGUUAAUCGGAGUGACUGGGCGUAAAGGGCGUGUAGGCGGUUAUGAUAGUCUGUUGUGAAAGCUUAGGGCUUAACCUUAAGAGGCCAAUGGAAACGUCAUAGCUAGAGUGGUGUAGAGGAUAGUGGAAUUUCCGGUGUAGCGGUGAAAUGCGUAGAUAUCGGGAAGAACACCAGUGGCGAAGGCGGCUAUCUGGACACACACUGACGCUGAGGCGCGAAGGCGUGGGUAGCGAACAGGAUUAGAUACCCUGGUAGUCCACGCAGUAAACGAUGACGACUAGCUGUUAUUUAAGUAUAACUUAGGUAGUAGCGCAGCAAACGCGAUAAGUUGUCCGCCUGGGGAGUACGGCCGCAAGGUUAAA
rnacentral:rRNA from 1 species